GUCAAAUGAGACCUUCGUAACAGGCUGCAAGGAGAGCACCUGGCUGCCUGCCUGAGGGUCUCCAUCAAUGGGCCGAGUCCACUGAGGGUCUCCAUCAAUGGGUCGAGUCCAGAGGAAUUUAACUACCUAAGGGCAUUAGAACUGUUUUUUUCAAAGUCCAGGAAAAUUAAAUGUCCAAAUUUGGGGUGCAAAGUUUGCAAAUAGGGAUGUAGGGAGAGUUGUAGAAAUGUGUAUUUUGGAUGUUUUCUUUCCACUAGUCUGAAAGAAGACUUGUUAUGGAAGCAAAAUAACCCAAAAUGUUUUUGCCUGCCACGUCUCCCCUUAAGGCUGCAACUAACGACAAAUUGAUGAUGUACCCUCCGAAUCCAAUUUAUUUUUUAUUACAAUUUAGCUUACAGUUCAACACAGCUUCUUUCUGCUGGAUAAACCAUCCCAAGUUUCUCACAGCGACCUGCAACAAAGAGACGAGUCAUCUCUGCUGAUUUCAGAGGAGACAUGUUACUGUCACGCCGUCUCCCUUCAAAGGCGACUGCGAUGGCAUUAAGGCACAAUAUCCAGGCUAAUAAAAGUGAUUGCACACGGCUGGUGGGUGCUGAGGCAGCUUAUCAACCCAGUGUCGCCUCUAAGCAGCCCGACUGGGAGACAUCGGCCCGGGCAGCCACAGAAGCUGGAAGGACUCUGAGAGAGACGCUCCCGACCUUUCAGCUGAAUCUGUGCGACAGUAAAAGAGCACAACGGACUCCCGCCUCCCAACGUUAGCCACCUCUAAUGCAAACUAAUACAACCUCUUCAGCCCUCUGGCAGGACUGAAGCUGCAGCACGGAGCUAAAAAAUGGCCAUCUGCGAACAAGACAUCAUUCAGGCUGACAAUUUAGUGUUUUAUUCCAACAGCAUUUCCCCCUCAUUGGUCCAAUUCUGCUAUUCUGGAGGCAGUUUUAUUGAAGACUGGCAGAAAAGAAAGUGAGAAAUGGUUUGAUGUUAAAAUGUACGAGUGGCCUUAUGGAAAACUUUAUGAAGCUGUUCUCCAGAACUGAGUAAAUGACUGAUUCAUGCUUGUGAAAAGGGAGCUGGUACUGUUUCUUACACUGAUAAUUAACAUGUCAAAUGGCAGUGCGACAUCCACAAACCAUAACUGAACAUGUAGCAGUUACCAGAGCUUUGAGUUUUAGUUUUUUCUCACGGUCGUCCACUGAUCGCAGGGUUGUUGGUUCGAUCCCCACCUUCUGCUGUCCAGUUUAAAGCACAAUCAGACAAUAUGUUGUACAAG
rnacentral:lncRNA from 1 species